UACGGAGGGUGCAAGCGUUAUCCGGAUUCACUGGGCGUAAAGAGCGCGCAGGCGGUCAAGUCAGUCGAAUGUGAAAGCCCCCGGCUCAACUGGGGAGGGUCAUUCGAUACUGCUCGACUUGAAGGCAGGAGAGGGAAGUGGAAUUCCCGGUGUAGUGGUGAAAUGCGUAGAUAUCGGGAGGAACACCAGUGGCGAAGGCGACUUUCUGGCCUGUUCUUGACGCUGAGGCGCGAAAGCUAGGGGAGCAAACGGG
rnacentral:rRNA from 1 species